GACAUGCGAUACUUGGUGUGAAUUGCAGAAUCCCGCGAACCAUUGAGUCUUUGAACGCAAGUUGCGCCCGAGGCUUUCCCGCCGAGGGCACGCCUGCCUGGGCGUCACGCCAUCGUCGCUUUGCGCUCGCUCACCCCCACGCACGAGUGGUGGUGUCGGACGUAGAAAUUGGCUCCCCGUGCUCUCGGGCGCGGUCGGCCGAAGAGAGGGCCGUCGCUGGUGGUCGGACACGACGGAUGGUGGUGCCAUGAGCAAGCUGAACGUCGUGCUCCCGCCGUGGAGAUGAGCUUUGGAGGACCCCCCACCCCACUAUAAUUAUUUUGCCUUGGAUUGCGACCUCAGGUCAGGCGGGGCCACCCGCUGAGUUUAAGCAUAUAAAUAAGCGGAGGAGAAGAAACUUACGAGGAUUCCUAUAGUAACGGCGAGCGAAUCGGGAGC
rnacentral:rRNA from 1 species